rnacentral:rRNA from 1 species
CGCAAUGGGCGAAGGCCUGACGGAGCAACGCCGCGUGAGGGACGAAGGCCUCUGGGCUGUAAACCUCUUUUCUCAAGGAAGAAGAUAUGACGGUACUUGAGGAAUAAGCCACGGCUAAUUCCGUGCCAGCAGCCGCGGUAAUACGGGAGUGGCAAGCGUUAUCCGGAAUUAUUGGGCGUAAAGCGUCCGCAGGCGGCCUUUCAAGUCUGCUGUUAAAGCGUGGAGCUUAACUCCAUUAUGGCAGUGGAAACUGAUCGGCUUGAGUAUGGUAGGGGCAGAGGGAAUUCCCGGUGUAGCGGUGAAAUGCGUAGAUAUCGGGAAGAACACCAGUGGCGAAGGCGCUCUGCUGGGCCAUUACUGACGCUCAUGGACGAAAGCCAGGGGAGCGAAAGGGAUUAGAUACCCCUGUAGUCCUGGCCGU